rnacentral:rRNA from 1 species
GAUGAACGCUGGCGGCGUGCUUAAUACAUGCAAGUCGAACGGACAGACGAGGAUCUUGCUCCUCUCACGUGAGCGGCGGGCGGGUGAGAAACACGUGGAUAACCUCCCUAUCAGACUGGGAUAACUACGGGAAACCGGCUCUAACACCGGAUAAUAUAUUGAACCACGUGGUUCAUUAGAGAAAGACGGUUUUGCUGGCCCUUCUAGAGGGAUCGGCGCCGUAUUAGCUAGUUGGUAAGGUAAAGGCUUACCAAGGCAACCAUGCGUAGCCGACCUGAGAGGGUGAUCGGCCACACUGGAACUGAGACACGGUCCAGACUCCUACGGGAGGCAGCAGUAGGGAAUGUUCGGCAAUGGGCGAAAGCCUGACGCAGCAACGCCGCGUGAGUGAUGAAGGCCUUCGGAUCGUAAAACUCUGUUAUUAGGGAAGAACAGAUGUGUAAGUAAAUAUGGACUUAUUGACGGUACCUGAUCAGAAAGCACCGGCUAACUACGUG